AUGAGUUCGUCCCUGGCCCUGCUCCUCCUCCUCGCGGCAGCCACCGCCCCUAUCCUUGCCGCCGGCGUCUCCCCUGCCGUCAGCACAAUCGUGCUCCCGGCGGCCACCUCCGCAAACGACACGCUGCAGCGCGGCAUCGUCGCCACCAACCAGAUCGCGCACAACGUGACGUCCACGCUGCACAUCAUCUCGGACCUGGUGCGCGACCUCAACACCUGCACCGGGUACUACACUACAAUGGCCACGACGGUGGCCGCCGCCCUCGUCGACCUUCACGCCGGACGCGUCGUCAACGCCACGGACAAGCUGAGCGACGCCCUGGGUGCGCCCAGUGACUGCGACAUUGUGCUGAGCGGCGUGGGCAUGAUUGGGAAGGUCGCCCGUGAUCCCAUUCGGCAGGAGAACGACGAGAACGAGAAGCUUGUCCAGGCAGCCAUCAACAUCUUGAAUCCGCCGAGAAGCUAG
rnacentral:rRNA from 1 species